GAUGAAGAACGCAGCGAAAUGCGAUAAGUAAUGCGAAUUGCAGAAUUUCCGUGAGUCAUCGAAUCUUUGAACGCACAUUGCGCCCCCUGGUAUUCCGGGGGGCAUGCCUGUCCGAGCGUCAUUGCUGCCCUCAAGCACGGCUUGUGUGUUGGGCCGCCGUCCCCGGUUUCCCCCGGGGACGGGCCCGAAAGGCAGCGGCGGCACCGCGUCCGAUCCUCGAGCGUAUGGGGCUUUGUCACCCGCUCUGUAGGCCCGGCCGGCGCCAGCCGACACCCAACUUUAUUUCUAAGGUUGACCUCGGAUCAGGUAGGGAUACCCGCUGAACUUAAGCAUAUCAAUAAGCGGAGGA
rnacentral:misc_RNA from 1 species